rnacentral:rRNA from 1 species
GGGACGAACGCUGGCGGCGUGCCUAACACAUGCAAGUCGAACGAGUCCACCCUUUCGGGGGUGAGGCGAGUGGCGGACGGGUGAGUAACACGUGAGCAAUCUGUCCCUGUGUGGGGGAUAACUCGGGGAAACUCGAACUAAUACCGCGUGGGCGGUUUCCAGGAUCUGGAAGCUGGGAAAGGUGGCCUCUUUACAAUGCUGCCAUGCAGGGAGGAGCUCGCGGGCUAUCAGCUAGUUGGUGAGGUCAUAGCUCACCAAGGCGACGACGGCUACGGGGUCUGAGAGGACGACCCCGCACAUUGGAACUGAGACACGGUCCAGGACUCCGUACGGGAGCAGCAGUGGGGAAUUUUGGGCAAUGGACCGAAAGGCUGACCCAGCGACGCCGCGUGUCGGGAGGAAGCCCGUUGGGGUACUAAACCG